ensembl:snRNA U6 U6 spliceosomal RNA
GUGCUCACUUCAGCAGCUUAUGUACUAACAUUGGAAUGAUACAGAAAAGACCAGCAUGGCCCUUGUACAAGGAUGACAUGCAAAUUCAAGAAGUAGUCCAUGUUUUU